CUCUGGUGCCGAAAACAGAAAGAAGAAAAUGACAGAGGAGAAAAACGAGCAAGAUACAGAGACACUGUUGAAGUACUUUGGAGCACAUCUCUACCACUACUUAACUCUACCUCAUCAAGUGUCUGCCUCCAUGGCUGAUGACACAGAAGGUUUGUCCACUGCAGAGCUGCAGAUACCUGAAAGCCAGGAACGAAGUAGGAAUAAGUAUCUAUUCUUUGGGACAUUUUAUUUUUGUCAUUAUUAUUAAUGUUUGUCUAUUUUGGUUUUAUUUUGUAGUUGAAGA